rnacentral:rRNA from 1 species
AUGAACGCUGGCGGCGUGCCUAAUACAUGCAAGUCGAACGCAUCACGAAAGUGAUGAGUGGCGAACGGGUGAGUAAUACAUAAGUAACCUGGCAUCUACAGGGGGAUAACUGAUGGAAACGUCAGCUAAGACCGCAUAGGUGUAGAGAUCGCAUGAACUCUAUAUGAAAAGUGCUACGGGACUGGUAGAUGAUGGACUUAUGGCGCAUUAGCUGGUUGGUAGGGUAACGGCCUACCAAGGCGACGAUGCGUAGCCGACCUGAGAGGGUGACCGGCCACACUGGGACUGAGACACGGCCCAGACUCCUACGGGAGGCAGCAGUAGGGAAUUUUCGGCAAUGGGGGAAACCCUGACCGAGCAACGCCGCGUGAAGGAAGAAGUAAUUCGUUAUGUAAACUUCUGUCAUAGAGGAAGAACGGUGGAUAUAGGGAAUGAUAUCCAAGUGACGGUACUCUAUAAGAAAGCCACGGCUAACUACGUGCCAGCAGCCGCGGUAAUACGUAGGUGGCGAGCGUUAUCCGGAAUUAUUGGGCGUAAAGAGGGAGCAGGCGGCACUAAGGGUCUGUGGUGAAAGAUCGAAGCUUAACUUCGGUAAGCCAUGGAAACCGUAGAGCUAGAGUGUGUGAGAGGAUCGUGGAAUUCCAUGUGUAGCGGUGAAAUGCGUAGAUAUAUGGAGGAACACCAGUGGCGAAGGCGACGAUCUGGCGCAUAACUGACGCUCAGUCCCGAAAGCGUGGGGAGCAAAUAGGAUUAGAUACCCUAGUAGUCCACGCCGUAAACGAUGAGUACUAAGUGUUGGGAGUCAAAUCUCAGUGCUGCAGUUAACGCAAUAAGUACUCCGCCUGAGU